GAUGAACGCUGGCGGCGUGCCUAAUACAUGCAAGUCGAGCGAACGGACGAGAAGCUUGCUUCUCUGAUGUUAGCGGCGGACGGGUGAGUAACACGUGGAGAACCUACCUAUAAGACUGGGAUAACUUCGGGAAACCGGAGCUAAUACCGGAUGAUAUUUUGAACCGCAUGGUUUAAAAGUGAAAGACGGUCUUGCUGUCACUUAUAGAUGGAUCCGCGCUGCAUUAUCUAGUUGGUAAGGUAACGGCUUACCAAGGCAACGAUGCAUAGCCGACCCGAGAGGGUGAUCGGCCACACUGGAACUGAGACACGGUCCAGACUCCUACGGGAGGCAGCAGUAGGGAAUCUUACGCAAUGGGCGAAAGCCUGACGGAGCAACGCCGCGUGAGUGAUGAAGGUCUUCGGAUCGUAAAACUCUGUUAUUAGGGAAGAACAUAUGUGUAAGUAACUGUGCACAUCUUGACGGUACCUAAUCAGAAAGCCACGGCUAACUACGUG
rnacentral:rRNA from 1 species